CCAUUUUCCCUGUUUUACGAAAAUAUUCCCCUUAUCUUUAUGUUUCAAUGCCUCAUUAUGAUUUUUCUCUAAUUCUUCUUUAGGCAACUCCUCAUCUGAUGAUUCACGCUCUUCCUGUUCAUCCAAUUGUGCACAGGCUUUGUCCUAUGAAUCAAAAUACCGCAAUCAAGUCAAUAAAUUUAAACUUAUUUCAAAUCAGGCAAAACCUAGUAAAAGAUGAACAGAAAUAAUGAAUCAAAAUGUUUAUUCACCACAUCAAAUUUUUCCCAUGAUGCAUAAUCUGAAGAUCUUAUUCGGUUCGGUUUUUCUUCAAUCUGUUUAAUCUUUGGUACAGCUUGUUUGUUAGCAGUAUUUUUCCUGGAUCUUAUUGGCGGAAGAACCUAAGAUCCGAGAAAAUACUUGGUAAAUAUUUAUACUAAUUAUCUAGUCACAGCAACCUAGAUAACAAUAUCUCUUAAGUAAGAGUAAUUCAAGAAGGCAUCAAUUGUUGAUGAAGAACUCAAUUGCUGACAAUGGAAUGCCAUGAAAAUAUAAGAACCUGAUCUCCAGCAGCAUAUUUGAGCUCCGCAUCCCUACGCUUCAUCUGUUCCUCCCAGUUUUUCAUGUCAAGAUCUAGAAUAGCAACGAGAUUCACGCUACUACGAUGAGUGUUGUCAAACGGUGGUCUAGGUUAUGAUUUGAUGUCACAAUUGUGUUUACACAAAGUCGUACGUACGAAUACUUACUAAAAUAAUCUUGUCAAUAUUUAGAUUCUGUUUCGAAGUAAUGAAGACCUCUUUCCCAGAAUUUUAGUGACUCCUUCAGGUAUUCAAAAAAGUGGAAAUAUCUUUCCUAGGUCUUCUAGUAUUACUGUUUUGAAACUGUCGAGACGAAGAUGACAUGAGGAUGACCAUUGGCCCACUGUUUCCAAUUUCAGCAGCGCAUACCACGUGCAGCGCCAAUUUGAAUUCAAAAAUUUCCUAUGGAAUGAGAAAGAUAUAAAAUUUAUUGUACGAUAGCUAAUGAUUGCAAGAUCCAUAUAACAUACAGAUUGUAACAACAGACCUUGAAUAAAAAAUGUACUUUCUCUCAA